rnacentral:lncRNA from 10 species
GAGACGGAGUCUUUCUCUGUCACCAGGCUGGAGUGCAGUGGCGCAAUCUGGGCUCACUGCAACCUCCACCUCCCAGGUUCAAGCGAUUCCCCUGCCUCAGUCUCCCGAGUAGCUGGGACUACAGGCAUGCACCACCAUGCCUAAUUUUUUUUUUUGUAUUUUAGUAGAGACGGGGUUUCACCAUGUUGGCCAGGAUGGUCUCGAUCUCCUGACCUCGUGAUCCGCUCGCCUCGGCCUCCCAAAGUGCUGGGAUUACAGGUGUGAGCCACCGCACCCGGCCGGGGCCCUCAUUUUUAACUCUUCCCACAGGGAAUGCCUGGCUGCGCACCUAGGCGGUAACGAUGGAAAUCACUCCCUGUUGUGCGGAGGGGCUUUUGAAUGAAGGAAGCGGCUCUCAGGAGGAGCACGGAAGGACUAAGGAGCAUUUUCGGGUGGAGUAACUCAAACAGCAACCUCCUGCAGCUGCUGGAGGAUGACCACAAAUCCAGAUCUUUCCGUGAAGGAAAGCAAAAUUGAGAUGAUUGGAUUUAUCUUGGGGGAUUGCGGAGAAAGCCCUUAGGGUGUGGUGCUGUCUAUCUUUUAACAUUCCAGAUGCUAAGUCUCAGAAUCGGAGUAGCAGUGGUUGCUUUUGAAUAAGCUUGGUUCAAUCUUGGUAUAUUUGUUGUUGAUUUUAAAAUGAGAUAAAUGGUUUGAAAAUUAUGCUAACUUGUUCCUGUAUUUCUACUUUAAGUGGAUCGUAUGAGUUGAGCCAUAAGUGAAAAUGUUACUGUCUUAAGCAUUAUGAUUUUUCAACAUAAAUAUUUUAAUUAUAUAUAAAUCUGAUUUCAAAGUAUUUUCAUCUCAUUUAUCUCUUUUCAAAAGCACUGCCAGUGAAAGAUGUAGAAGAUAAACCUGAACAACAAACCAGAACAAGAGAGACUGACAAAUCACCCACCAGUACUGAGCCUCGACAGCAACCAAGUGCCUUAUUUGCUAGAGGAAACAGGAAAGCGGUCAAAAGUCCCCAAAGAUCAUCGAGUAAAAUAAAAGAAAACAAGCAUCCAUUUGCUCUUUAUGGCUGGGGAGAAAAACAGACCGAUACAGGAAGCCAGAAGACUCACAACGUCUGUGCGUCCGCUCCUGUGCACGAGAUUCAUGAAUCAGCAUUACGAGCCAAGAACAGAAGACAGGUGGAAAAAAGGAAACUGGUUGCUCAAAGGCAGCGAGCUCACUCUGUGGAUGUGGAGAAGAACAGAAAGAUGAAGGCUUCCUCCUCAGAGAACCCGUGGAUGACAGAAUACAUGAGGUGCUAUUCGGCAAGAGCUUAAAGAAACACUUGCGUGGACAGCCUCUUUUAAAAAGUGUAAAUGACUGAAAGGAAAAACAAAACAAAA